rnacentral:sRNA from 1 species
GUUCCGUGCAACUUUCAAGUGAGUUGCGAACUCCGCCCUGUAGGCCGGUGCUGGUGGCCCGGCGCGCUGGAACCGCGGCGACCCGCUCCAGCGCGGGACCAGCAGCAAGGGCCGAGCGCCAGGUUCUCCGCGGCAGAAAGGGCGGGUGGGAGCUGUAACUGCCCCGGCCGCGGGGCGCGCCCGCUCCCAAGUCGGCUUCCUUCCCGCCGGGGACGCUUUGCCUCGGGUCUCCCCAUUCUCCAGGUCCCCUGAACUGCACAGUCGGAGGCCGUGGGCGGCGGGCUCUGCCUCCGCCGAGGGACAGCCGGAUCGCCCCUCUGCUUCCCGCAACUGCCCUGAUCACCCCCCGUCCCAGCCCUUGAGUGAACGUCCUUCUGAGCGGCUUCCUGGGGUCCUCCCCACGUCCCAAAGGCCGGCAAGAUGGUGUCCUGGAUGAUCUGUCGCCUGGUGGUGCUGGUGUUUGGGAUGCUGUGUCCAGCUUAUGCUUCCUAUAAGGCUGUGAAGACCAAGAACAUUCGUGAAUAUGUGCGGUGGAUGAUGUACUGGAUUGUUUUUGCACUCUUCAUGGCAGCAGAGAUGGUUACAGACAUUUUUAUCUCCUGGUUCCCUUUCUACUAUGAGAUCAAGAUGGCCUUCGUGCUGUGGCUGCUCUCACCCUACACCAAGGGCGCCAGCCUGCUUUACCGCAAGUUUGUCCACCCGUCCCUGUCCCGCCAUGAGAAGGAGAUCGACGCGUACAUCGUGCAGGCCAAGGAGCGCAGCUACGAGACCGUGCUCAGCUUCGGGAAGCGGGGCCUCAACAUUGCCGCCUCCGCUGCUGUGCAGGCUGCCACCAAGAGUCAGGGGGCGCUGGCCGGCAGGCUGCGGAGCUUCUCCAUGCAGGACCUGCGCUCCAUCUCUGACGCGCCUGCCCCUGCCUACCAUGACCCCCUCUACCUGGAGGACCAGGUGUCCCACCGGAGGCCACCCAUUGGUGAGUGGGCAGAGGGGCCCAGA